rnacentral:rRNA from 1 species
UACGUAGGGUGCAAGCGUUGUCCGGAAUUAUUGGGCGUAAAGAGCUCGUAGGCGGUUUGUCGCGUCGAAUGUGAAAUCCCGGGGCCUCAACCCCGGGCCUGCAUUCGAUACGGGCAGACUAGAGUUCGGUAGGGGAGUCUGGAAUUCCUGGUGUAGCGGUGAAAUGCGCAGAUAUCAGGAGGAACACCGGUGGCGAAGGCGGGUCUCUGGGCCGAUACUGACGCUGGAGGAGCGAAAGCGUGGGGAGCGAACAGG